rnacentral:rRNA from 1 species
GACGAACGCUGGCGGCGUGCUUAACACAUGCAAGUCGAACGGAAAGACCCUGCUUGCAGUCUACUCGAGUUGCGAACGGGUGAGUAACACGUGGGUGAUCUGCCCUGCACUUCGGGAUAAGCCUGGGAAACUGGCUCUAAUACCGGAUAGGAGCCAUUUUUAAUGUGAUGGUUGGAAAGUUUUUUCGGUUUAGGAUGAGCUCGCGGCCUAUCAGCUUGCUGGUGGGGUAAUGUCAUACCAAGGCGGCUACGGGAAGCCGGCCUGAGAGGGUGGACGGCGACAUUGGGACUGAGAUACGGCACAGACUCCUACGGGAGGGAGCAGUGGGGAAUAUUGAAGAAGGGGCGCAAGCCUGAUGCAGAGACGCCGCGUGGGGGAUGACGGCCUUCGGGUUGUAAACUCCUUUCGCUAGGGACGAAGCUUUUUGUGACGGUACCUAGAUAAGAAGCCCCGGCUAACUACGUG